rnacentral:rRNA from 1 species
UACGAAGGGGGCUAGCGUUGCUCGGAAUCACUGGGCGUAAAGGGUGCGUAGGCGGGUCUUUUAAGUCAGGGGUGAAAUCCUGGAGCUCAACUCCAGAACUGCCUUCGAAACUGGCGAUCUUGAGUUCGGGAGAGGUGAGUGGAACUGCGAGUGUAGAGGUGAAAUUCGUAGAUAUUCGCAAGAACACCAGUGGCGAAGGCGGCUCACUGGCCCGAUACUGACGCUGAGGUGCGAAAGCGUGGGGAGCAACAGG